rnacentral:lncRNA from 1 species
CCGAAUGAGCCGUACCAGCUUCUUCAGUUCCUCAUUUUCCCGCACCAGCCUCUCUAUCUGAUGCCGAAGCCCCUCGUAACUUGCUCUGCUCUCUGGGCCUCUAGGCCCAUGUGUUGCCUUACCUCAGCCUGCAAUGUCUUGACAAGAUAAAUCCUAUACCACAUCACUUGCCUUUGUCUGUACAAUUGGCCCCCUCAUCGGCUUUCCACAGGAUGUUCAGUGAGUGUAGUGACUCUUCCUUUGCACCUGAUCUCUGCUCCUUGGGUCCUGGAAUCUUCUGGAGUUUCAUUCUCUCAAGAAUCUAAAAUGAAGACGUGACGGUGAUCCAGCAGCGCUCGCUGUUUCUCUACGACUGGCCAGGGUUACGUUGACUUGGCUUAUCUGGCUGGCCAAGCAAGUAUCCCAUUCCUCCCUCACUGUUCCCUGUAUGUCCCUCCUGAAGCUGUCCACUUGGUAGAAGACAACUCUCUCCCGGGGGAGCAGUGUUCAAGUGAAGAUACACAAGUAGCUGUGUUCCUCUGCUAGGACUUCCAAACAAGACCCGGAGCCAGUCCUCCUCGACGGAUUUCAAGAGCCGGAGGACUGAGUCCUCCUGACACGCCCUUCUCUUAGAGCUUUCUAGAAAGAAUGCCAUGGGAUCUUGGGAGUCAAUGGAGGCUGGUCUUGGAGACCUCCACUGGCUCUGUGGUCAUCUUCUCUCAACACUUUCCAUAGGUCAGGGAGAGGAAG